rnacentral:tRNA from 5 species
GCAACCCUAGUGUAAUGGAUAGCACGUAAGAUUCCGGUUCUUGAGAUGAGAGUUCGACUCCCUCGGGUUGCA